ACCUCCAAAAACACCCUCUCCUAUUUCUCAACCUCCCUAUGUUUUGUCACCUCCAAAAACACCCUCUCCAAGUUCUCAAGCUCCCUAUGUAACAACACCUCCAAAAACACCCUCUCCAAGUUCUCAACCACCCUAUGUGCUAACACCUCCAAAAACUUCUUCACCAAGUUCUCAACCUCCAUAUGUGCUAACCCCUCCAAAAACACCCUCUCCAAGUUCUCAACCUCCCUAUGUUCCAUCACCUCCAAAAACACCCUCUCCAAUUGCUCAAGCUCCCUAUGUACUAUCACCUCCAAACACACCCUCUCCAAUUUCUCAACCACCCUAUGUAACAACACCUCCAAGCACUCCUUCUCCUAUCAAUCAACCACCCUAUGUAACAACACCCCCAAAACCCAGUUCUCCUAUUUCUCAACCUCCAUAUAUAUCAACACCUCCAAACACUCCUUCUCCUAUCAAUCAACCACCCUAUAUAACAACACCUCCAAAACCCAGUUCUCCUACUUCCCAACCUCCAUAUAUAUCAACUCCUCCACCAACCCCUUCUCCUAUUUCUCAAUCUCCCUAUGUAACAACACCUCCUAAACCCAUUUCUCCUUCUUCUCAACCUCCAUAUAUAUCAUCACCUCCAACAACAACCCCAUCUCCUAUUUCUCAACCUCCCUAUGUCUCAACACCUCCAAAAACUGCUUCUCCUACUUCUCAAC
rnacentral:lncRNA from 1 species